rnacentral:sRNA from 1 species
CGCUUGCAGCAUGGUGAGUGCAUCGCUGAGCUGCCGGCGCUGGGCCUGUGGGGGGAAGAGACUGGAGCGAACUGACUAAAGAAAGGAAACUCGCCUCCCUUACACCUUCAAGGAGUGGUUUCUGCCAGAGGGAUGGCGCGAAAGAGGCCAGGGAUGCCCGCGACGGUUGUGUCGCAGGUGCUCCCCCACCCCCAUUCUCGUCAGGGGGGCUUCCUCUAGUUAGCUUUGUACAUAGCAUCUCACUUUGCACAACAACCCUGCAAGGCUGACCAACUGACUGAAGAGCAGAUUGCAGAAUUCAAAGAAGCUUUUUCACUAUUUGACAAAGAUGGUGAUGGAACUAUAACAACAAAGGAAUUGGGAACUGUAAUGAGAUCUCUUGGGCAGAAUCCCACAGAAGCAGAGUUACAGGACAUGAUUAAUGAAGUAGAUGCUGAUGGUAAUGGCACAAUUGACUUCCCUGAAUUUCUGACAAUGAUGGCAAGAAAAAUGAAAGACACAGACAGUGAAGAAGAAAUUAGAGAAGCAUUCCGUGUGUUUGAUAAGGAUGGCAAUGGCUAUAUUAGUGCUGCAGAACUUCGCCAUGUGAUGACAAACCUUGGAGAGAAGUUAACAGAUGAAGAAGUUGAUGAAAUGAUCAGGGAAGCAGAUAUUGAUGGUGAUGGUCAAGUAAACUAUGAAG